UACGUAGGGUGCGAGCGUUAAUCGGAAUUACUGGGCGUAAAGCGUGCGCAGGCGGUUUUGUAAGCCAGAUGUGAAAUCCCCGGGCUUAACCUGGGAAUGGCAUUUGGGACUGCAAGGCUGGAGUGCGGCAGAGGGGACUGGAAUUCCUGGUGUAGCAGUGAAAUGCGUAGAGAUCAGGAGGAAUACCGAUGGCGAAGGCAGGUCCCUGGGCUGACACUGACGCUCAUGCACGAAAGCGUGGGGAGCAAACAGG
rnacentral:rRNA from 1 species